UUCGGCCUCUCGUGCUAGCUCAGUCUCCCUGAUAACUCCCGAAUGAAGUCAGCUCGCCUUAACUUCGCGUGGUCGGCAGCCGCAGUGUCACGUCAGCGAAGAGGCACUCCUGGAGUCCUUGCUGCCAGUAAACUACCGUUGAUUUACAGUGAAAUUCUUUAGAGUGUAGCUGGCUCAAGCUGUGCCAAACAUCAGGAGCAGGAGACGGUGUACGAGAGUAACAAAUAUAUGUUUAUUAAAGUAUAACCCUAACAGGAAGAACUUAAAUUAGUGUUGGUUUCUUCUAGGUCAUUGCAGCACAAGAAUGUGAAUGUAUUUCUGCUCAAGCAGUGCAUCUUUGCCUUUGUUUCUGUUUUUGGGCUACAGAGAGGAUCCUCCCAAUCCGCAGUGAACACCUGAGGAUACAAGUCCUCAAGCAGAAGGUCCCGAACCGCUCCGCUUCCCGGAUCUUGAUUUACAAUAAGCUUUAUUUAAUAUUUCCUGAUGUUGACUGAAUUAUAUGCCAACCAAUUGUAAUACAUUAUACCUUAUUUUUUUGCAAUGGAAUUCUGGCAAAUACAGUUGCUGGCUAUUUGCUUUGAACUUUGUAAUAAAAUACCGUAACUCA